CUCUCUGUGCCCCGUGGGAUGCUUCAUCCGCUCCAGGCAAACUUAUGACCUCCACCACCUGGCGACUUCUGGUGUUCCUGCCUCAGAGAGACUUGGCUCCCCAGAGGCCCGAAUUGUGGCCUCUCGGGUGACACCCCUGGGGGUCAGCCCUGCCAUUUCCAGCGCGGCCGGGAGGAGCGGACCUUCUCUAGACGCACGGCCCCUCUGAGCUGCCCCCCAUCUCAAGGGCACUGAUGUACCUCCUCAGACUGCUGACUGCCGCCUGUCAGGUGGCUGCUUCGAGAAGACACCCUCAGAGUGACUCACGGCCACGCGCCAAGCGGAGGGGCCGCCAACACCCAAACCUGGUAGGGCUGGCUCCCCACCUUCCACCACAUUCACUUGGCAAGCAUUUUUUAAGGGACUAUUAUUUGCCAGGCAUCGGUCUGCCAAGGGUCUGUCUCACCGGACUGGGCAGGGACUUUGGUCACGUCAGCAUUGCACAGCUAUCCAAACAGAUGUUUCCGGAGCAUCUUAUGAGACAGUCCAACAAAGCAUCCUGGGAAAACUGGAUGUCCACAUGCAAAAGAAUGAAGUUAAACUCGUUGCCUCUCAGGUCAUAUACAAAGAUCAACUCAAAACGGACCAAGAGUCUAAAUGUAAGAGCUGAGACUAUUGAACUCUUAGAAGAAAACGCAAGCCUAUAUUUCCAUGACAUUGGAUUAGGCAAAGCCUUUGUAGAAUAGGACACUGAAAAGGCAAGCCACCAAAGAAAAAAUAGAGCAGGUGGACAUCAUCAGAAUUACAACCCUUAUGCUUCGAAGGCCACCGUCAAGAAAGUGAAAAGACAACCCACAGAAUGGGAGACAAUUUUUGCAAACCAUCCAUCUGGGAAGGAACUUGUAUCUAGAAUAUAUAAAGAAUUCUACCAACUCCAUAAUAAAAAGAUAACCCAAUUGGCAACUGGGCAAAGAACCUGACUAGGCAUUUUUGCAAAGAAGAUAAACACGUGGCCAAUAAGCCCAUGAAAAGAGACUCAAUGACAAAAACCAUCGAGAACACAUAAAUCAACACCGCAGUUAGAUCCCAACUCACGCCCACGAGCAUGGUUAGAAUCAAGAAGUCAGAUGAUGACAAACGCUGGCAAGGAGGCGGAGAAAUAGCAACUCUCCUACAUUAUUGGUGGGAAUGUAGACAGACCGGUGUAGCCACCGUCGAAAACAUUCUGGCAGUUUCUCAAGAAAUU